GAUGAACGCUGGCGGCGUGCCUAAUACAUGCAAGUCGAGCGAACAGACGAGGAGCUUGCUCCUCUGACGUUAGCGGCGGACGGGUGAGUAACACGUGGAUAACCUACCUAUAAGACUGGGAUAACUUCGGGAAACCGGAGCUAAUACCGGAUAAUAUAUUGAACCGCAUGGUUCAAUAGUGAAAGACGGUUUUGCUGUCACUUAUAGAUGGAUCCGCGCCGCAUUAGCUAGUUGGUAAGGUAACGGCUUACCAAGGCAACGAUGCGUAGCCGACCUGAGAGGGUGAUCGGCCACCCUGGAACUGAGCCACGGUCCAGACUCCUACGGGAGGCAGCAGUAGGGAAUCUUCCGCAAUGGGCGAAAGCUUGACGGAGCAACGCCGCGUGAGUGAUGAAGGUCUUCGGAUCGUAAAACUCUGUUAUUAGGGAAGAACAAAUGUGUAAGUAACUAUGCACGUCUUGACGGUACCUAAUCAGAAAGCCACGGCUAACUACGUG
rnacentral:rRNA from 1 species